rnacentral:rRNA from 1 species
AUUGAACGCUGGCGGCAGGCCUAACACAUGCAAGUCGAGCGAGAAAGUGUAGCAAUACAUGAGUACAGCGGCGCACGGGUGAGUAACACGUGGAUAACCUGCCUCAAAGUGGGGAACAACACCGGGAAACCGGUGCUAAUACCGCAUAUUCUGACGAGGUCUGCGGAUUUCGUCAGGAAAGGAGCAAUUCGCGAUGAGAGGGGUCCGCGGCUGAUUAGCUAGUUGGUGAGGUAAUGGCUCACCAAGGCCACGAUCAGUAGCCGGUCUGAGAGGACGGUCGGCCACACUGGAACUGAGACACGGUCCAGACUCCUACGGGAGGCAGCAGUGGGGAAUUUUUCGCAAUGGGGGCAACCCUGACGAAGCAAUGCCGCGUGGAUGAUGAAGUCUCUUGGGACGUAAAAUCCUUUCGACAGGGACGAAACCGCAAGGUUGACGGUACCUGUAGAAGAAGCCCCGGCUAACUCCGUGCCAGCAGCCGCUGUAACAC